UUCGCGGCGAUUUUCACUGAUUGUGGCAGGUUAAAACGCCAUUAUCAUUAAAAAAAAGGAAACACAUUUAAAGCUGAGGUGGUGUAUUUGCAUAUGAGAAUAAUCACUAUUCAGUCUUAUUGAAUGUGAGAGAGUUAGCGAGAGGGAUCUGAAUGUGACGAACCCUAAUUUUUUGAUCUCCCUCAUUACCGGCGUUCAUCUCUUGCCGCCGUAUACAAUACGGUUGUUGCUGCCUUCGAAGGAGCGCUCUUCUUUGAUUAGGUUUUCUAGCUUCGAUUUGAGGGUUUGUUGCGCCGCCCUCAUCUCCUCGUCACCACAAGCAACGCCAUCAUUGCUGUCUUCGAUGGAGCUUCUGCUAUCUGGUAUAAUCUGAGAUCGCACAUCGGAGGGAGAGGGAAAGGGGAAUGAGAGUGAGUUGAUCUAAAACCCUAAAGCUUGUCGCCGCCAUGGUCACCAGCAUUCAUCUCAUUUCUCUCGCUUCCAUCAACCUUCUGCACUCGAGUGAAGGCGCCUCCUCUAUCGACGCGUUUCCAAAUCUGGUCACUACGCCAUAGCUUAUGAGAUUGAGCCAAGCACCUCUUCCAUUAAUGUGUCUCCUCCGCCAGUAGCGCCGGUACGUUCUCACUUCCGCAUUCUCUUUUUCUUCGAUCCACUCAACAUUGCUUGUAGUGUGUUUCUGUUCAUUCUCAAUUACUUGUUUUCUAGUAGUAUUGUUAUGCUUGCCAUGUGGUUGAUGAAUUUCCUGAGAGAGAUGGAAAAGAGUGGAACUUGUUUUCUGAUAUAGAUAGAUGAUUUUUUGGUGCUUAUUAUUAUAACUACUGCAUGUUCAUCAUUGUGCAUUUUUUAAAUUCAAAACUAGCUUAGCUCCCAAUUUAAAUCCAACAAGGACAUGCCUUCUUUGUUUUCUUUUUUCAUCAAUGUCAUGACUUGAAUGCUCACAUUUUAUGGUGGGAAAAUCAAACUACAUUUACUGCAUUUUAGUUUGCAGUUGAC